AACGUAGGAGACAAACGUUAUCCGGAGUUACUGGGCGUAAAGGGCGUGUAGGUGGUUUUGUAAGUCUGGCGUGAAAUUUUUCGGCUUAACCGGGAAAGGUCGUCGGAUACUGCAAGGCUAGAGGACGGUAGAGGCGUGUGGAAUUCCGGGUGUAGUGGUGAAAUGCGCAGAUAUCAGGAGGAACACCAGCGGCGAAGGCGGCAUCCUGGACUGGUCCUGACACUCAGGAGCGAAAGCGUGGGGAGCGAUCCGG
rnacentral:rRNA from 1 species